CAGCAGUAGGCUUCAUGCUUUAUAAACGCAGAAAAGAGCAACAAGAACCACAAAGUACAGUCAGUGAUUCUGCAUACUAACACUGAACUUGUGCCGAUGGCAAAGGGAAGGUCUACCAUGAAUGGUGAAACACCUGACACCACCCAAGCAGACCCAAGCAGCUCUGCUUCAGUACUGAACUCUCUUAAUGUGUUGACUCUCUGUUUAUUAAGCACAAACAUUCAUAAGUGAAAAACCUGCUAAAGACGCCUUCAAAUGAGUUUCUUGGAGCCAUAGAAACUCAUACGUGCACUGAGGAGCAAGAACACUGAGACAUUAAUUUCCUUAUUUUCUCCAUUUUGUUUGCGUCAUAUCCUAAUGCUUGAUUUUAUCAAAGAACAGUUUUUAUUUUACAAUCAUAACCUAAAUAUUUUGAUAUGCCUCCCUGCUUCAUCUUGGACCCUUGAGCAUCGGGUGUGCAACAGAAUAAAUCUAAGGAGAAGAAAUGAGCCUGACUCACAGAGGCAGCUUUGAUUUAGAAUAGAAUAGCCUUUAUUGUCAUUGUACAAAGUACAACGAAAUUGGAGUGCCACUCCCUUGGUGCAAAAUGCAAAAUAAAUAUAAAUGUAAAAUAUAAAAAGUACAAUAUUUGUCUGUGAAAACUGCUGAUAAGUUGAGUUUAGCUACUAACUCAGGGGUCGGCAACCCGUGGCUCUGGAGCCAUGUGCAGACCUUUCACCUUUACAUUGCAGCUCCCUAUGACGUCCUUUGACGUCAAGGACAAGAAUCAAUGUCUUUGUUUUUUCCCAUGAUGGUGGAGAUGUUGGAAAAUUCUGUGGACAGGUGUGCUUUAUACAUAUAAGGAGUUAGGAUCAGGAGUAUUUAUAAGUGACUGGGCUCAAA